rnacentral:rRNA from 1 species
UCGUGGAGUGAUUUGUCUGCUUAAUUGCGAUAACGAACGAGACCUUAACCUGUUAAAUAGCCAGGCUAGCUUUGGCUGGUCGCCGGCUUCUUAGAGGGACUAUCGGCUCAAGCCGAUGGAAGUUUGAGGCAAUAACA